rnacentral:tRNA from 1 species
UAGCGCGUAGCUCAGGGGGAGAGCACUGCCUUCACACGGCAGGGGUCGCUGGUUCAAAUCCAGCCGCGCCCACCA